rnacentral:lncRNA from 1 species
AGACACCGUUUCUCGUUUCUCUCCUCCUCCUGUUUUCCAACCUUUCUCCGCUAACUCUAUAAGUUACAAAAUUUUCUGACGCUUUCGAUCACUGUCUCAACUUCAUUCUUUCUUCUCUUGGUAACUUGCCGGUAAUUUUCUUUUCGUGUUAUUUUCUUUCGAGUCUAUUUUUAUGUGAUUUUUUCAUCUGGGUGUGAAUUUUUCUUUCGGUGGACAGUUGAGUUUCUGAUCAAUUAUUAGCUUUGUAUGUUGAUUUAAAGCUGAAAAUUAUUUUCAUACAACACUUAUGUUAUUUGAUUUUGAAAUCGAAUGUAUAAAAUUUCUUUCCUCAUUGCUUUGGAAUUGAAUAUCGAGGCAUUAGUCGAAACCCCAAAUCUGCUUUCUGUUAUUGCUUCCCUUGCUCGCAGGCAGCUUCAUCAAUUGAUAUUUCUGGUGAAGCUGCUCCCUCGACUGAAUGUCGCACUCUGGCUUUGCAACUUAGUCUAUGCUCUUCGCAUUUAAUGAAAAUUUUCACUCUUUUAUGUGGUUUUUUUGUACAUUUUUCUUUAUAUAUAGCAGGGAUUUGCAUAUUAACGCGGUCGACCCCUAUGCCAUAAUUUCUCAAAACGAGGAGGCCAUAGAUAAAUUUGACAUUAGUGAUUCCGCUGGCAAACCUCGAGGGUCGAAUGUAGGUGACAAUGCUUGGGAAAAGGGAACAUAAGGAAAUCAAAGAAUUCAAUGGAGCUCAUUGUCUCAUAUUUUGGGGGAUAAAGAAAGAUGAAGUGGUUUAAUGCCAUGGGCAGCUGCAAAGAGACUUUCCACUUCAAAAGCUGCUAAAGCUUUUGAUCACUAAAAUUCUGCAAAAAUCUCGACUAAAUAUAGAAAAGAUCGGAUUCCAAUUUUUAUCAAAAAGAAACUGAAGAUCUAAUGCUUCAACUACAUAGUUCAACUCAUUAAAGAAAUGGAGCAAGAUAAAAGCACUGCAAGUGUUCCAUCCAUUUAGAAACGUCAGAGAAAGUAGUUUGUAAUUAUUCUGAACAGAAAGCUGUUGUUGCUUAUUAAAGAUACUACCACCUGGGAACUUUCAUUGGUGACAUACGAUCACAUGUUACCCUAGGAGUAUCAAUUAUUUGCUUUUUCAUUAUUGUAUCUUCUAUCAUCUGGCUAAAGAAUAAGACAAUUCCAUAAAGAUGGCGUUAAACCUUUGAACAAUUUAAUGAAGUUCUGGAUCUUAAUACCUGAUGGUUACUGUAUUCGAGAGCUUUUCCAGUCUUUCAUGACAGUGCCUUCCAAUUUUUACGUUCUUU